GUGUGGUGGUGUAGGGAGUACAUGAGCAAAAUUGGUUUGGGACUUAGAUUAGUUGUAAGUUUAAUGAUUGGUUGUGAAGUUAAACUUUGAGAACAAGACGAUGGAGGAUUAUAGCAACUACAGGUAGUUAUAUGGUUUUGUUUCUUGAUGCUAUGGGAAGCAGAUCUUGUUAGGUAAUGUUUCAUGAAUCAAAAAGGCUCACACAAUGCUAUCUUGAUAAAAUUCUCAUAAAUAGGCAUAUAUACUUUGUUGCAUUUCUGGAAGAACGUAGUCAAAAUUCUUUGGGAUUGGAAAUGGCAUUUAUUAGAAUAAAAUUAAGGCAUGUGUAUUCUAAUUUUGUACCAAUGCGUGUAAUUUACUUGUUUACUUGGCUAAUAGAAAGUUGUUUGAGAUGAAAUUAGGUCUGCAAUAUACUUGAGAUUGAUUAAUUGAAAUUUUGAGCAGGUUGCUCUGAAUCACGUGUGCUAUUUUCUUUAAACAUUAUGUUCCGAUCAGGUGUUACAUUUUCUUUAGUCAGUUGGUUCGUCAAAAUUCCUGUAGAAUGAUUUCCAUUUCUCAAUUUGGAGCACAAUGCCAUGAAUAAUGGAUCAAGUCUAUAGAGAUUGAAUUUUAACAGACAGUUAUGAUUAUGAAAGUUAAAGGUAUUCUGCCAGAAAUGAGAUGAAUAGAGGGGCAAAAUAUUAGGAGUCUUGCCUGUUUAUGUUUUAUUCUUGAUUGGAGGUUAUAGUUGUACUUGAGCACUUAGUCCUGCUUCUGAUGUUUGGAGUUGUGUACGAGUUUGAUAUAAUUGUUGUUCUUCAGAAUAGGUAGCACCAUUUGAUUACAAUAAAUUUUUUUAGGUGAUGUGAUGCGAUGCUACCACAUCAUUUGGCUUUCCAAAUCAACUACCAAAACUUGUUUGAAAUGUGAUUUGGAAACAGAAAUUCGGUUGUAAUAAUGAUGCUGUCAGUAAGUCGGUUCAAUUAUCGUUGUAGCUUUAGUAAUAUUUUUUGCUUGAAGUCUAUGAAAUUGGGUUUUAAGUAACUCAAUUCUUACACAUCCUAAACAUUGAGAAGUGCUUAAUGAGGUUAUCGCACACCACUUCAGUUAGCCUAUUAUUAUAUUUAGAUGUAUGAGCUCCAGUGCAAUUUUGUUGAUUGCGCAAAUAGUACAUGUGAAAAGCAAUUUGACUGAUGCCCGCUUUUAACAUAACAGACAUGUGCCAAGUAAUAAAAAAGAAUUGGAUAAUUUGGCUAGUGUAAUCAGAAUUGUAAAACCUGGCUAAAAGCCAAGGAAAAUGUAGCAAGACUGAUUUCUUAUUUGAGAAUCUUAUCUGAUGUCAGGUUAAGGAUGGUGAUGACUCUGA
rnacentral:misc_RNA from 1 species